GAGCCUCUUCAGGCAGCCAAGUGAACCUGGCCCACCUGCUGCUUCCUGCUAAUUCCUCCACAAACCCAGUGAUUCUAGGGAGAUUUCCUCCCCUUCUCCACUUGUUCACAAGCAGCUCCUGGGGCAGCAUGGAUGGAUGCCUGGGAACAUGACAGCCGCCGAAGAGGUAGAGAAAAGGAGUGUGGGCACCAGGAAGAAAAUAGCUGGGUAGCAAGGAACUGCUGGGAUAAGGACAGAAACUAUGGGACCCAGAGCCACCAAAAGGAUGAAGAAAAGGCUUGGUUGUCUGGCUUUUGAGUACCUGGGGUAGAAUCUAGCUUUGGCCUCUCUUUGACCUCAAUCUUGACCUUCAAUAACAGGUGUAUCUCAACACAGCCUCCCACCCCCUCCUGCCAGCUAGACAUUCCAGUUCACUUCUACACACACACACACACAUACACACACCAUUCCUCCCACAACCAAAUUCAGCCCAAGAAGGAACUGCACCCUUAAUAAACACGAUUCAGAUUGGAACCGUGGGAAAUGGAUACACGUCCAAGACUUGGCAGAGCAAGGCACAGGCCUGGCUCCAGGUUGCACACACUUCUUCUCAGAUUCCUCAGAGUCCAGGAUUCUGGGGACUGACCUCACCAUUUAGGGACAGGGUUGUAUCCUGUGCCUGUGUGUUUCCAUAUAUGUCUUUUUAAUUCUGUGUUUCUUUGGACUGGGAAGGAUGUAAAGAUAGAGAAGGCAAUGGACUGAGAGCUUUUAAGUUCUGGCCAGAGAGAGUGUGUGUGUGAUCAUAUGACUGUGAUUGUGGGUGUGUAAGUGUGAAUGGUAUGAGUGUGUGUGGAUGUGUGUGUUUAAUCCAAGAACUAUUCUCCUUGUCAGUAGGUUGUUCCAGGUAACAGGGCAACGCCCUGUGCAAAUCCUGGGUGGCCUCAAUCUUGGGCCAACGUUGACGGCCUGACUGAGGGUGGGUCCUUGCUGCAAACCAGGUCAAGCUGCAGUAGGUGCCUUCCCUUCCCCCUCCUUUCUCACCAAGCAAACCAUUGCCCAGGGGGAAAACCUGCCUGCCCAGGUGAUGCAAAUGUGGGACAACCUGGGAUGUCCCAGAAUCAGGGACCCAGCCUCCCUAGAUCCUUUUCUGGUUCUCGAAAAGGCCAGCUAGCUUGCCCCAACCUUCCCAGAGCCUUGAUGUCUUGGGAAGGGUCAAAGUCUGAGCUAAUUUGUUAUUUGGGAGAGAUGGAGACAGAGAGGGUGAGGCAAGAGUCAGGGCUGGGUCCCAUGGAUGUGCUUUGCCUCAACUUCUGUCUCUACCUCACUACUCCUUUUUUCAAGGAAAGGGAAUAAUAAAUAUGUAUUAAGUACCAA